rnacentral:rRNA from 1 species
GUGCCAGCCGCCGCGGUAAUACCGGUAGCCCGAGUGAUGGCCGAUCUUAUUGGGCCUAAAGCGUCCGUAGCUGGCUGCGCAAGUCCGUCGGGAAAUCCACGCGCUCAACGUGUGGGCGUCCGGCGGGUACUGAUCGGCUUGGGGCCGGACGACCUGAGGGGUACGUCCAGGGUAGGAGUGAAAUCCUGUAAUCCUGGACGGACCGCCGGUGGCGAAAGCGCCUCAGGAGGACGGACCCGACGGUGAGGGACGAAAGCUAGGGUCACGAACCGGAUUAGAUACCCGGGUAGUCC